UUAAAGCCUAAAUUUGUUGUAGUGGACUGCAACAGGCUCUGUGGACGUAGGCGCAUUCCUGAACCAUGUAAACCUCUGUACUCUUUGUUUGGUGUUCUUUUUCACUUAUUCUAUGAGUGUGUGCGUGAUGUAUUUUGACAGUAGGUUGGACUAGGAAUAAGCUUGGAGAUUCAAAGUAUUCUUUGGUGCUAGUUAUGCAUAUAUCCAUUAUUAUCCGAGUGCAGACAUGAG
rnacentral:misc_RNA from 1 species